rnacentral:rRNA from 1 species
GAUGAACGCUGGCGGCGUGCCUAAUACAUGCAAGUCGAGCGAACGGACGAGAAGCUGGCUUCUCUGAUGUUAGCGGCGGACGGGUGAGUAACACGUGGAUAACCUACCUAUAAGAAUGGGAUAACUUCGGGAAACCGGAGCUAACACCGGAUAAUAUUUUGAACCGCAUGGUUCAAAAGUGAAAGACGGUCUUGCUGUCAUUUAUAGAUGGAUCAGAGCUGCAUUAGGUAGUUGGUAAGGUAACGGCUUACCAAGGCAACGAUGCAUAGCAGACCUAAGAGGGAGAUCGGCCAACCUGGAUCUGAGACUCGGUCCAGACUCCUACGCGGAGCACCAGUAGGGAAUCUUCCGCAAUGGGCGAAGGCCUGACGUAGCAACGUCGCGUGAGUGAUGACGGACUUAUGAUCGUAAAACUCUGUAAUUCUGGAAGAACAUAUGUCUAAGUAACUGUGCACAUAAUGACGGUACCUAAUCAGAAAGCCACGGCUAACUACGUG